CGAGCGAGGUCCGCCCGAGGAACCCUUCAGGGCGUCGUGGGCAGCCUUUGGGCUUGGCGCGCCCCAAACGAGGCGUCCACCUGAACGAUUUGUAUCCUCACUGUUAUCGGCGGUAAAGUCUGUGAAUCCGAGCAGCUUCCCGCUCGCGGUGCUGAGCCGUGUCGCCGCAGCGGCUGCCGGUACGCGCUAGCGCGUCGGUGGCGUGUUUGUACCGCGGCGUUUCAACUCGACGGGUGUAAGUGCCGGGAACGGGGGGACGGAGCCGGCACGGCUCUUCCCAGCUGCCGGCGACGAGCUGCAGCGGCCGCCCUGGGGAGACCACCCCGCGCGAUCUCGGCUCAUUUUCUCUAAGCAAUACAAGUUCACGGACGCGCUACCUAGCCAGCCCUCCUCUCCCGUCAUGGACCUCCCAGGCUGCGCGCCGCCCGCCCUCUGAGGAGGCUCCUUCGCCCCGCGGGGAGGAAGAGGAGGAGGAGGAGGAGGAGGCGGAGGAGGAGAAGGGAGGAAGGCGCGGCCCCAGGCGCCGCCGCCCAGCCGCCGUCCCGCAGAGCGCUGGCCGCGGGGCGCCGCGGCGGCAGCAGGCGCGCAGCCCCCUCCG